AUAAAUAUUAUUAUUAUUCAUUUUAGUGAUAAUAUAGCCAGCAGAAAUAAUCAUAAUAGUUAUUCCGUUAUUCGUAAUUAUAAUAAUGCAUUUCUUCGUUCAAAGGAAAAUCGAUAAAAAUAAAAGGAAACAUUGAUGCACUUAUACUAACCAAACAAUGCAGGUUUCAUAGCUACCACUAGGAAUUAAAAAUAAUAAUAAUAGAUGUAUGUUUUAUAACGCAUUUACUCUGGUAAUAUAAUAUUUUGAUAAUAAUUCAUUGAGACGUGUCAGAUAUACAUAUAUUAUAUAUUUAUAUAUUUAGUAGACCAAUUCUGUUUUUAACCUUAGUCCAAAAUAAUAUAUUACUAUGUCUCGAAAAAAAUGUUCUAUUUCCCCCAUUAUUUUAAUUUUACUAAAUAAGAUAUAUGCGAGCAUACAUAGAUAUCCGAAUAUAUGCGAAGACUUUCACUAUGGAAGCCUAAAAAUGGUAAUAGACAUAUGUAUAAUUGUUAUUAUGCCAAAACCCAUGGUAUAAACCCGGCGUGUGUUGUAUAUAUGUGAAAGCCAUCCGAUCGCGUAAAGAACGCCCGAUGAUUACAUGUUACGUCUUUCAGAAGGCUAGAAAUAAAAAUCAU